UCACAGAGGCCAAGGCCGCUGAGCCGACGCUAAUCACCACUGCUGGACUGUCGUACGCCAGUCUGCAGACUGAAAUCGCCCGAUCUGGAGAAGAAAAAUGGACAACGCAGAGCAUUUUGGAUAGAUACUCCGGGCCUCUAACAGCAAUGUCUACUGUGGCAUUGAAGCUGGGAUUAACAUUUGGAGCAUCCAUGGCAACUUGCGAGAACUAUUUUUCAACAUUGAAAAACGUAUUCAGUGAGCACAGACAGAGCAUGUUGCACAGGAGGAAAGCGCAGCUGAUUCAACUGGCAUUUGAGAGGGAUCUUACAAGCAAAUUCCGUGGGGAGUGGAACGAGAGACUGCUGAGGAGGUUCAACACAGCAUCAAGGAGGCUACAACUCUUUUGAAUCUGGAAGAGGUGCUUUGCAUUACAUUGAUGAGGGUGGGCAGACCUUGACCAAUGGUUGAGUAAUGAUGUGCUGACCUCUGCAUGGAUAGGCUGAUGAGGAUACAAGGAUGGAAGACAUGUCAGAAACUCAACUCAAUCAAGGCCAGCUGUCACCCAGCAAAUACAAACUGGAAUAAAGCUGGGGUCCUACCUGGUGUCAAACAGUAAGCCCUCAUGGAUGGUAGGGCUUUCUGCUUCAGAUUAAGGAAGAGCAGCUCUGAGAUCUGAGAUCCCCAAACAAGAGAUGACUAUCUGGCUGUAAAUACUUAUUUGGAGCUCUAUACUGCCUUUACCAAAAGUUAUUUUGUUGCAUCUGAAAUUGUUAUUUUGGGCAAUAAAUCUUGAUUACUUUGA